AUUGAACGCUGGCGGCAGGCCUAACACAUGCAAGUCGAGCGAGCGGAGGACGGGUGAGUACUGUCUGGGAAACUGCCUGAUGGCGGGGGAUAACUACUGGAAACGGUAGCUAAUACCGCAUUCCAUCAGCUGUGCCCAUGUGGGAUUAGCUAGUAGGUGGGGUAACGGCUCACCUAGGCGACGAUCCCUAGCCGGUCUGAGAGGAUGACCAGCCACACGGGAACGGAGACACGGUCCAGACUCCGACGGGAGGCAGCAGUGGGGAAUAUUGCACAAUGGGCGAAAGUCUGACCCAGCCAUGCCGCGUGUGUGAAGAAGUCCUUCGGGUUGUAAAGCACUUUCGGCGGGGAGGCGGUACCCGAACAAGAAGCACCGGCUAACUCCGUGCCAGCAGCCGCGGUAAUAC
rnacentral:rRNA from 1 species